rnacentral:rRNA from 1 species
GUUUUCGGAUCGUAAAACUCUGUUGUUAGGGAAGAACAAGUAUCGGAGUAACUGCCGGUACCUUGACGGUACCUAACCAGAAAGCCACGGCUAACUACGUGCCAGCAGCCGCGGUAAUACGUAGGUGGCAAGCGUUGUCCGGAAUUAUUGGGCGUAAAGCGCGCGCAGGCGGUCCUUUAAGUCUGAUGUGAAAGCCCACGGCUCAACCGUGGAGGGUCAUUGGAAACUGGGGGACUUGAGUGCAGAAGAGGAGAGUGGAAUUCCACGUGUAGCGGUGAAAUGCGUAGAGAUGUGGAGGAACACCAGUGGCGAAGGCGACUCUCUGGUCUGUAACUGACGCUGAGGCGCGAAAGCGUGGGGAGCGAACAGGAUUAGAUACCCUGGUAGUCCACGCCGUAAACGAUGAGUGCUAAGUGUUAGAGGGUUUCCGCCCUUUAGUGCUGCAGCAAACGCAUUAAGCACUCCGCCUGGGGAGUACGGCCGCAAGGCUGAAACUCAAAGGAAUUGACGGGGGCCCGCACAAGCGGUGGAGCAUGUGGUUUAAUUCGAAGCAACGCGAAGAACCUUACCAGGUCUUGACAUCCUCUGACAACCCUAGAGAUAGGGCGUUCCCCUUCGGGGGACAGAGUGACAGGUGGUGCAUGGUUGUCGUCAGCUCGUGUCGUGAGAUGUUGGGUUAAGUCUCGCAACGAGCGCAACCCUUGA